AGCGAACGCUGGCGGCAGGCUUAACACAUGCAAGUCGAGCGGGCAUCCUUGUGGUGUCAGCGGCAGACGGGUGAGUAACGCGUGGGAACGUGCCCUUCGGUUCGGAAUAACUCAGGGAAACUUGAGCUAAUACCGGAUACGUGCGAGAGCAGAAAGGUUUAUCUGCCGAAGGAUCGGCCCGCGUCUGAUUAGCUAGUUGGUGAGGUUACGGCUCACCAAGGCGACGAUCAGUAGCUGGUCUGAGAGGAUGAUCAGCCACACUGGGACUGAGACACGGCCCAGACUCCUACGGGAGGCAGCAGUGGGGAAUAUUGGACAAUGGGGGCAACCCUGAUCCAGCCAUGCCGCGUGAGUGAGGACGGCCUUAGGGUUGUAAAGCUCUUUUCUUCGGGACGAUAAUGACGGUACCGGAGGAAGAAGCCCCGGCUAACUUCGUG
rnacentral:rRNA from 1 species